rnacentral:rRNA from 1 species
UCGAGCGAACAGACGAGGAGCUUGCUCCUCUGACGUUAGCGGCGGACGGGUGAGUAACACGUGGAUAACCUACCUAUAAGACUGGGAUAACUUCGGGAAACCGGAGCUAAUACCGGAUAAUAUAUUGAACCGCAUGGUUCAAUAGUGAAAGACGGUUUUGCUGUCACUUAUAGAUGGAUCCGCGCCGCAUUAGCUAGUUGGUAAGGUAACGGCUUACCAAGGCAACGAUGCGUAGCCGACCUGAGAGGGUGAUCGGCCACACUGGAACUGAGACACGGUCCAAACUCCUACGGGAGGCAGCAGUAGGGAAUCUUCCGCAAUGGGCGAAAGCCUGACGGAGCAACGCCGCGUGAGUGAUGAAGGUCUUCGG